rnacentral:rRNA from 1 species
GAGUUUGAUCCUGGCUCAGAGCGAACGCUGGCGGCAGGCCUAACACAUGCAAGUCGAACGGAUCCUUCGGGAUUAGUGGCGGACGGGUGAGUAACACGUGGGAACGUGCCUUUAGGUUCGGAACAACUCAGGGAAACUUGAGCUAAUACCGGAUGUGCCCUUAGGGGGAAAGAUUUAUCGCCUUUAGAGCGGCCCGCGUCUGAUUAGCUAGUUGGUGAGGUAAAGGCUCACCAAGGCGACGAUCAGUAGCUGGUCUGAGAGGAUGACCAGCCACAUUGGGACUGAGACACGGCCCAAACUCCUACGGGAGGCAGCAGUGGGGAAUCUUGCGCAAUGGGCGAAAGCCUGACGCAGCCAUGCCGCGUGUAUGAUGAAGGUCUUAGGAUUGUAAAAUACUUUCACCGGUGAAGAUAAUGACUGUAGCCGGAGAAGAAGCCCCGGCUAACUUCGUGCCAGCAGCCGCGGUAAUACGAAGGGGGCUAGCGUUGCUCGGAAUUACUGGGCGUAAAGGGAGCGUAGGCGGACAUUUAAGUCAGGGGUGAAAUCCCAGAGCUCAACUCUGGAACUGCCUUUGAUACUGGAUGUCUUGAGUAUGAGAGAGGUAUGUGGAACUCCGAGUGUAGAGGUGAAAUUCGUAGAUAUUCGGAAGAACACCAGUGGCGAAGGCGACAUACUGGCUCAUUACUGACGCUGAGGCUCGAAAGCGUGGGGAGCAAACAGGAUUAGAUACCCUGGUAGUCCACGCCGUAAACGAUGAUUGCUAGUUGUCGGGAUGC